GGAGGUCAGGAGGCUCUAAAUUGGAAAUGCAUUGUUUUGUUGUUGCAAAGAGUCAAGGUAAAAUUUGAGGAUGAAUUCAUUAGGUUUCUCUUAGAAAAAUAGUCUGUGUAUGCAUGGAAACUCUGUUCUAAAGAUUUGUAGCAAUAAGCCCUCUACAAAGGCCUGAAGAAAGCCCUUAGUCAGGCUUUUGGUCCCCUCCUCAGUCAGGGAAAAGGCAAGCUCUAGGUGAGAGUCGCUCCACUGUUUAUGAGGAAAAAGACUCCUAGCCAAAAUGUAGGAAGAGGAAGUGUUAAAAAGAAGAAAAAUAUUAUUGCAGAGAGAGUUAGAUCAAGACAGUCUUCUCUCCUUCAGAUGACAAAAGCUAAUCUUGCCUUUGUGUCUUUUUGCUGAGAACUUGCAUUAAAUCAGUGUGCCUGGCUCAGACUAAAUGAUCCCCCAGGCCCCAUCCUUGUCUGGGUCUUCCAAGAGCAGAAAUUGCAUCCCUUUGGUUAGCCCUAGAUCUGAAGACUCUGCACAGGGUUCAGGAGCCUACAUCCAAUGUAGAAUCACAGCCACCAACUUCAGGACAACAGGGAAGUCAUGGUGCUCUCCUAGAGAUACUGUCCCCUGGUAAGGCAUGCCAGUGCUCAGAAAUCCAGGGGUGAUAUUCAGGUAGUUUGGGUAGCUGCCAACAGUCACUGGGACUGGUCCAGAGAACAGUAGUCUUUCAGAAGCUUUCCAAAAUGCCAAGUCCAAUGGGGCAGGCAUUGCCCCCUUACGUGGUUAAAUUUUGUUUCGGAGGAAAUAAAGAAGUGGGGAAAUGUACGUGAAUGUGGCAAGGUUGACAUCCUGAAAGCAGCUGGUACUGUCAACAUGACGUCUGCCUCUCAGAAGGAAACAUAAACUUACAGGGGUUCUUGGUUGCCUGUUGCUUCCAGGCCAAUAGUGGGAUUUGGUGUGUUAUCUUAUCUUUGAGAAGGGAGAGACUAGAAAGAAGGAGGGAAACAAUCAUGUUGUAGCUGAUUGCAGUCUGAUCCAUGUUGGGCAAAUUGCAUCUGAGCGGAAAGUAUUGUAUUUCAUUUUCCCUUUAAAUCAUUUCCACUUGAAAUUCAGAAUUAUCUGCAGUGUUACAAUCAAAUCUCUGAGGCUGUGGCUUUGGGAAUCUUAGGGAAAAAGGAAAGACAUGAAACUGAUGCUUAGCCCCUCUGCCGGGACUCUGACCUGUGCUCUCUGGUGAUACUCUAUUUACUUCUUCAGUUUUCUCUUCCUGCAGUGAUGGAGUGUAAUAUGAUUAUGUGAAGCUCAGUUAGGGAAAGUGAGAAUUUCAAGUCAAGCCCUCAAUCCUUAAAGUUUUGACAGCAAAUAAUGGCCCUAUACAACCAUCGUUCCCUUUGGCUCUAGCCCUAGUCUCUAGAUUUCUGGUGAUGAGACUGAGUAAUCCAUAAGGCCUUCAAAUUCUAUUUCACAUGAUUAUUAUAUCCUCCUGAAGCUUGUAUCUGGAUCCAGAUACGGGAGGAAUCAAAAAACAAAAACAAGUGGUCCAAAGCAAGCAGCGGCUUCUCUGACCCACAUCCAUGGACACACAGCACCCUGGGCUCUCCAUCCACUACCAACUUCUUGUUCAAGCCUCAGAUCCUUAGAAAGCCUUUCCUUGGGCUCGGGGAAUUAGGAGACAGAUUCCUUAUUAUUGUGAAGCUCACUCUGAGUAAUGGGGAAGAAAUUAGGUUUCUAAUCAAAAAGCAGUAUCUGUGACCCAAGAGAAGGGAACCAGAAUGUGAGAACCAGACCUGUGUCUAAACCCUCUUCAGCCAAACAUUCACUCUAAGAAAUGUCACUAUUCCGUGCCCCAUCCCUAUUCCCAAGCUAUCGUGUUCUUCUUGGAAAGGCCUCCAAUAAACUGGGAGUUAAACUGUCCAUCUUGAAGGCAGCUACCAGUCACCUGUCGCCUUCUUCUCUUCCUCUAUGUCAGCUCUGUCCCCUGUCUCCGUGCUUCCUGGCUGGGAUUUCAUGCACACAUCCUUAUCCAGCAGAUACACUAUUAUUAGCUUCAAAGGGAACUGAGCCUCUGUGCACUCAGCCCCUUGAUCUCAUCGAGGGCAGCUUUGUAGUUCUCUGAGCUGUGGGGUCUCUAGGCUGGGACCCAGGCUGGGGAGGCAGGGCACAGAUGUUCUAGGCCAGGCCCCAGGGCCUGCCCCAGGCUGGUUACUUGUGAGGCAGUGCUGCGAUGUGCUCCUGGGAUACCCGACAGAUGUUUUUUGGAGCCGGCACCAAACUCCUCGUGGAACCACAAAGCCAGCCUCCUGCCAAACCAUCCGUUUUCAUCAUGCGAAAUGGGACGACGGUUGCUUGUCUGGUGAAGGAUUUCUAUCCUAAGGAUAUAGACAUAAAACUCGAAUCAACCAAGAAACUAGAAGAAUUUGACCCUGCUAUUGUCGUCUCCCCCAGUGGGAAAUACAGUGCUGUCAAGCUUGGUCGGUAUGAAGAUCCAAAUUCGGUGACCUGUUCGGUUGAACACAACAGUGAAGUCGUGAGCUCCACUAACUUUGAACCAAGGACAAAUUCUUCAGGUACCGUAAAACCAAAACCAACGGAAACUGAAAACAUAAAGCUAACUCCAAAGAGCAUCAGUGAGCCCAAAGCCACAGUUCAUCACAGUUCACAGUUCACAGCCGGGAAUGUAAACAUGCUGUCCCUCACAGUGCUGGGGCUCCGGAUGGUGUUUGCCAAGAGUCUUGCCAUCAAUUUUCUCUUGACUGCCAAGUUAUUUUUCUUUUAAGGCUGACUGGCUUAGGAGGCUGCCUUAUGAAACUCCCACAUUAUGUCUUCACAAAAGCCUACAGAGGAGCUGUCUCCUAGACUUCUGGCUUCUCGGUGAUUCAAGGUGACCGAUCCCAGUCUUGCUUAAGUGGCUGCUACCCAAACCAUCAAAGCAACAAACCCAGCUCAUUUUCCAGCUUUGUGAAAGACACAAGUCCUAGGGAGUAGGGCGUUAUGGUCCUAACUGCUCUAUCUGCUGCUUUAUAAAGGGAUAUAGGACUCAUUUUUUUUAUUAUUAUUUCUACAACAGAUACACUUUGAAAAUAGUGUUUUGUUCCCUUAACUUUCUUUGCCUUCAAAAGUAGAAAGUGGGAGCCAACAGAUUCCCAGCUCCAUACUCCCCGAGGAAAACAGACCCUGGGGGUUGGAGAGAAGAUGCCCUUCACCUAACAGGAAUGGCUCUGUUCAGCUCAGCACUAGGUUUGCCUCAAGCUGGCAUUCUCAUCCACAAAAGCACUUUCUGCUUUCCUUAGUACUUUACAAACAAAAUUACAUUUGACUUCUCAUGCAGCCAAUGGGGUUUCUAAAGCCUCAUCUAAAUACUCUCCAAGCUAUUAGCAAAGAUCAGGGUAAAAUACAGAGAAAAUUACUUUUAUCAAUUGACUUCACAAACAUGAAUUGACUCCUUCUAAGUUCCAGGCACCGAGCUGAGGGUGUAAAGAUGAAUGAGAGGUGGGCCUGCUUUCAAGCAACUUACUGUGCAAGCACUUUUGGAGGGAGGGAGAGGAAUGAGACUCCUAGAUUUGGGCUGUGAAAAGAGUAUCUUUACUGGGUUUUGCCUGCCAAUAUAUGCACAGGGAAUUUGAUUUCAGUGGAUGCUGACUCUUGCCUGCCCCUUGUUGUUGAUGGUUUUCUGCCAUUCUCAGUGUUGUCUCUGUUGCAUUUAUUAAAGUGCAUCGAGUGUG